AUUGAACGCUGGCGGCAGGCCUAACACAUGCAAGUCGAGCGGAUGAAGGGAGCUUGCUCCUGGAUUCAGCGGAGGACGGGUGAGUAAUGCCUAGGAAUCUGCCUGGUAGUGGGGGAUAACGUCCGGAAACGGGCGCUAAUACCGCAUACGUCCUGAGGGAGAAAGUGGGGGAUCUUCGGACCUCACGCUAUCAGAUGAGCCUAGGUCGGAUUAGCUGGUUGGUGGGGUAAAGGCCUACCAAGGAAACGAUCCGAAAUGGUCUGAGAGGAUGAUCAGUCACACUGGAACUGAGACACGGUCCAAACUCCUACGGGAGGCAGCAGUGGGGAAUAUUGGACAAUGGGCGAAAGCCUGAUCCAGCCAUGCCGCGUGUGUGAAGAAGGUCUUCGGAUUGUAAAGCACUUUAAGUUGGGAGGAAGGGCAGUAAGUUAAUACCUUGCUGUUUUGACGUUACCAACAGAAUAAGCACCGGCUAACUUCGUG
rnacentral:rRNA from 1 species